CCUACGGGCGACAGCAGUAGGGAAUAUUGCUCAAUGGGGGAAACCCUGAAGCAGCAACGCCGCGUGGAGGAUGACGGUUCUCGGAUUGUUAAAUCCUUUUGUUAGAGAAGAUAAUGACGGUAUCUAACGAAUAAGCACCGGCUAACUCCGUGCCAGCAGCCGCGGUAAUACGGAGGGUGCAAGCGUUAAUCGGAAUCACUGGGCGGAAAGAGCGCGUAGGCGGGAUAGCAAGUCAGAUGUGAAAACCUAUGGCUUAACCAUCGAACUGCAUUUGAAACUGUUAGUCUAGAGUUUGGGAGAGGUAGGUGGAAUUCUUGGUGUAGGGGUAAAAUCCGUAGAGAUCAAGAAGAAUACUCAUUGCGAAGGCGACCUGCUAGAACAUAACUGACGCUGAUGCGCGAAAGCGUGGGGAGCAAACAGGAUUAGAUACCCGUGUAGUC
rnacentral:rRNA from 1 species